rnacentral:lncRNA from 1 species
GGGGCCUGGCUAGCCGGGACUAAGACGACAGAGAGUAGAGAAAUCUGCCCAGAGAGGUGUUCUGCGGAAGUCCACCCAUGCAAAGCCACAGCAGAACUGUCCAGGAACCCAAACAUACAGCAACCACCAUUCUCAAGCACAACAGGAGGGUCACCUCUGAAAGGCCAGCGCCAGGGAGAAGUCACAAAGUAUUUCCAACUGAUGAGGGGUUUAUCUGGACACGACACAGCACCAUCCGAAGCAGAGGAGCAUCUGUACCAGGUUCUUGUACAGAACACAUGGCACACACAACUGUUUGUUCACUGACUUAAAAUCCAUGAUUGGCACCUGCUAUUAGUCUGGCUGGUGGCUCACACCUAUAAUCCUAACACUUUGGGAGGCCGAGGCAGAAGGACUGCUUGAGGCCAGGAGUUCAACACCAGCCUGGGCAAUAUAGCAAGACCCCCCUCUCUUCAAAAAAAUAAAAAUAAAAAUGAGCCAGGUGUGGUGGUGCAUGCCUGUAGUCCCAGCUACUCAGGAGGCUGAGGCAGAAAGAUCACUUAAGCCUGGGAGGUGGGAAGCUUCAGAGAGCUGUG